UUUUAAAGGAAGUUUUCUAGUGGAAAAUUCCUUCAGUAAUCCACACCUGGAUGAGGCCUAGCUAUCUUUUAGUGUGAAACCGGUGACUUUAAGACGGCAGAAACACACCUCUUUCAGGACCCAUGAUGAAAGAACACAGUUGCAGCUGAGCCAUUUCAGUACGAGCUUUCAACCCACCAUCCAUCACAGGAUCCCUCACCCAAUUACCAUCCUCUUCCUUCACCAAUCCACCACCCUGCAAAACCUCUUGGUCAUUCCCAGAGUCCAGGCAAACUAAGGUCUCUUCUUGCCCUCCCAGGCACAAGAGCCCGGUCAGCAGUAGCCCAGAAAGAGACUUACACAACACCAGAUUUGCUUUAAGGGCCCGUGAUCUACGUACGUUGUCCAUUGGGGUUACUCAUUGGCUCCUAGUUGAUGCAGAAGAUGAGGUAACUGAGGCACA